rnacentral:rRNA from 1 species
AUUGAACGCUGGCGGCAGGACUAACACAUGCAAGUCGACCGAGUGGCGGACGUGUGAGUAAUGUCUGGGAAACUACCUGAUGGCGGGGGAUAACUACCGGACACGGUAGCUAAUACCGCAUACCCUCGGAUGUGCCCAGAUGGGAUUAGCUAGGAGGUGGGGUAAGGGCUCACCUAGGCGACGAUCCCUAGCUGGUCUGAGAGGAUGACCGGCCAAUCUGGAACUUGGAAACUGUCCAGACGCCUACGGGCGGCAGCAGGGGGGAAUAUUGCACAAUGGGCGCAAGCCUGAUGCAGCCAUGCCGGGUGUAUGAAGAAGGCCUUCGGUUUGUAAAGUACUUUCAGCGGGGAGGCGGUACCCGCAGAAUAAGCACCGGCUAACUUCGUGCCAGCAGCCGCGGUAAUUC